GCCCACCAUUCUGGGCAAACUGGAGUCCUUGACUCAAUCUGUAGUGCUCAACUGGGUUUUUGUUCCAUCUUGGAUUUCUUAGUCAGGAAAAAAAAGCUUUUGUCCAUUUCAGCCUCCUCUCCUUGCUCCAAGUUGUUCCAUGUAGGGUACAGGUGGGAGAUUCUGGUUCUGGAGGUAGAAGAUAACUUUAUUUAUAUUUUCAAAGUAGCCAUAUAAAAGCAAAGCCUGACUUUAGGGCCAGUGUUUGAUGUCAAAGCAGCAAGGCAACAAACUUUCAUUAAGUUACCUCCAAUGUUUACUUGCGAAUUUUGGAAGAAGCCUGCCAGUGUUUGAGGAUUGUGAAAAUCCACUUGGCAUCAUCUUCAUUGACAUCUGGACGGGCAAAACGCAGGUUAUGAAAGUCAGCUGGCUGGCACAUGCAGGGUGAGUGUUUGGGGCUGCCCCAAGUGUUUGUGGAAUGGAGUUGAAUGUGUUCUGUCGGGUGGGCUUCCCACCUCUGUGCCAGGAAGGUGAAUGGCUUCAGGCUUCUUAGGUCAG
rnacentral:lncRNA from 1 species